rnacentral:snRNA from 1 species
AGAGUGGCCUUGCUGCCAC